rnacentral:rRNA from 1 species
ACUCGUAUCACGGCACCACGAGGGUUAUACUGUCUCCCCCUUCUAAUCAGUGAAACUGACCUCCCCGUGAAGAGGCGGGGAUUAUAUUACAAGACGAGAAGACCCCAUGGAGCUUUAAACCCAAUAAUAAUUUUUAACUAAAUAACCUACAAAAAACUAAAAAUUCUAUCUAUUGGUUUUAGGUUGGGGCGACCGCGGAGUAAAACAAAACCUCCUUGACGAACAGGUCUCAUCCUAAUCCAAGAGCCACUGCUCUAAGAAUCAAAAAUUUGACGUAACAUGAUCCGGUAACCGAUCAACGAACCAAGUUACCCUGGGGAUAACAGCGCAAUCCAUUUCAAGAGCUCCUAUCGACAAAUGGGUUUACGACCUCGAUGUUGGAUCAGGGUAUCCAAGUGGUGCAGCCGCUACUAAAGGUUUGUUUGUUCAACAAUUAAUACCUUACGUGAUCUGAGUU